rnacentral:rRNA from 1 species
UGGGGAAUAUUGGACAAUGGGCGAAAGCCUGAUCCAGCCAUGCCGCGUGUGUGAAGAAGGUCUUCGGAUUGUAAAGCACUUUAAGUUGGGAGGAAGGGCAGUAAGCGAAUACCUUGCUGUUUUGACGUUACCGACAGAAUAAGCACCGGCUAACUCUGUGCCAGCAGCCGCGGUAAUACAGAGGGUGCAAGCGUUAAUCGGAAUUACUGGGCGUAAAGCGCGCGUAGGUGGUUCGUUAAGUUGAAUGUGAAAGCCCCGGGCUCAACCUGGGAACUGCAUCCAAAACUGGCGAGCUAGAGUAGGGCAGAGGGUGGUGGAAUUUCCUGUGUAGCGGUGAAAUGCGUAGAUAUAGGAAGGAACACCAGUGGCGAAGGCGACCACCUGGGCUCAUACUGACACUGAGGUGCGAAAGCGUGGGAGCAAACAGG